rnacentral:rRNA from 1 species
UACGGAGGGGGCUAGCGUUGUUCGGAAUUACUGGGCGUAAAGCGCACGUAGGCGGCUUUGUAAGUUAGAGGUGAAAGCCUGGAGCUCAACUCCAGAACUGCCUUUAAGACUGCAUCGCUUGAAUCCAGGAGAGGUGAGUGGAAUUCCGAGUGUAGAGGUGAAAUUCGUAGAUAUUCGGAAGAACACCAGUGGCGAAGGCGGCUCACUGGAGCUGGUAUUGACGCUGAGGUGCGAAAGCGUGGGGAGCAAACAGG